CAUUGCCCCCCCCAUCCUUUCAGAGUUUGCAUCACACAACCUGCUCAGCUCCGCCUAUUAUCUUCUUCCUCACUGCCGCUGCUCUCCACACAUCUGCGCUAGCCAUCUUCGGAUAGUAGGAGCAGCAGCAGAUGCCAAGAAGAGGUUUUGCAUCUCCUAGCUAGGUCUGCACCAAGAUCUCAAUUAAGUCUCAACAACUACUAUAUAUAGAAUCCUUUUUUCCUUCCUUUGGUCAGAAAGAAUCCCUUGACCAUUCUGCUCUCCUCCACUGCACAUCUCUCCGCCGACGCCAAGCACCAACCUUCUUCGAGUAAUAGCGGCAGGUGUCAAUGGGUUUUGCAGCUCCUCGCUAGCUAGCUAGAAAUGGGGGCUGGACGCCGAAUUCUCUGUCUACACACUCGUCUGCUGCAUUAAUUCCACCGUCUCUGAUUGACUGCAAUCUGCAAACCCAUGCAUCUCUCUGGCACCUAGUCAUCUAUCUCGAGCACAUUUAUCAGCAACACACGUCAGGAGUUGAGGAUGGACACGGCCAUCAGUGCAGCAGUGUGGGUGGUAGGCAAGGCGCUGGCCCCUGUUUCGGAUGGCUUGCUGGAGAACUGGGCGGCCUGCGACAGUCUCGGCCCCAACAUCAGCACCCUUAAGAGGAAGUUGCUUCAUGCGCAGGGGAUACUAUAGACCGCGCACGGCAGGGACAUCACCAACCCUGCGCUCAAGGACCAGCUGCACAUGCUGCGGCAGCUGGCGGACGAGGCGAACGACGUGCUCGAUGAGCUGGACUACUUCCGCAUCCAGGACAAACUCGACAGCACCUACGAUGCCGGCACGCCGCUGAUAACCAUCCCGGGGGCUGCAUCCACAACCUCAACCUCAAUGUGCGGCACACUGCCAGAGCUUUUUUUGCCAAUAAAUUCAAGAUUUCCCCAUGCUGGCAUGAUGCUAAUGGCGACGAUCUUGACUCCCAAGAAGAUGAUGCAAAACAAGGAUGCCUAUCUGUUGUCCGCACAUGCGGCGGGAAGCGUGUUGUUGGCAGUGGAUGCAUACCGAAGGGAGUCUCUAGUGGUGCUCAUGUUGCCGGCCACGUUGUUACUACUCAGACAGGCAUGUCAGAACCCUUGAAGGCACCACUACUAGUUGGAGAAAAAAAUAAGUUUCAUCGUGUGGAGAUGUCUAAGAAGAUGGCAGAAAUUGUACAACAGCUGGAACCAAUGUGCGCUGAGGUGAAGGACAUCCUUGAUCUGGAGCUCCGCAAACCUACCCAAGGCAGCAUUACUGGAAACAGACCCACAACCACCCCAGCAAGGUCAAAAGGGAGGCGUUUUGGUAGGAGUGGUGAUACGGAGUUGGAUCAAU